rnacentral:rRNA from 1 species
GACGAACGCUGGCGGCGUGCUUAACACAUGCAAGUCGAGCGAUGAAGCUUCUUCGGAAGUGGAUUAGCGGCGGACGGGUGAGUAACACGUGGGUAACCCGCCUCAUAGAGGGGAAUAGCCUUCCGAAAGGAAGAUUAAUACCGCAUAAGAUUGUGGCUUCGCAUGAAGCAGCAAUUAAAGGAGCAAUCCGCUAUGAGAUGGACCCGCGUCGCAUUAGCUAGUUGGUGAGGUAACGGCUCACCAAGGCGACGAUGCGUAGCCGACCUGAGAGGGUGAUCGGCCACAUUGGGACUGAGACACGGCCCAGACUCCUACGGGAGGCAGCAGUGGGGAAUAUUGCACAAUGGGGGAAACCCUGAUGCAGCAACGCCGCGUGAGUGAUGACGGUCUUCGGAUUGUAAAGCUCUGUCUUCAGGGACGAUAAUGACGGUACCUGAGGAGGAAGCCACGGCUAACUACGUGCCAGCCGCCGCCGUAA